rnacentral:lncRNA from 1 species
CAACAAUUGUCUACUCCUAUGGCUUUUAGAUCAGCGGUAAGUUUCCAUCUACUUCUAUUGUUAUAUAUAACUUGGUGUGAUGAAUGUUGCUCUUUCGCUCAUUAUUUAUCGUGGUGCUAAUUAAAUUAAGAUAAAAGGGUACUUUUUCUAUGUUGCAGACUUACCUGAAAUCCAUGGUUAGUCACUUAAAGGGAAGUUCCUCAGUAAAUUAUGCAACAGCAGCCACUUCAAAAUUUAAGGCAGCUUCACCCGUCCAACUUAAAGGGAUUCAUGUGCCCAAGUAAGAUUAUUGUCCUCCAUAAUCUACUUCUUUUACGUAGCUUGAUAAAGGAUGUUAUGGUUUAUGUAUGCCACUGGCAACAAUGAAGUCAGAAAUUUCGCAAAAAGUGUUCAAAGUAUAAUAUACACACAUAAAAAAUUAUUUUUUACCUCUAAUUUAAUUCACGCAAUGCAAUAAAGGAUCAAAUUACCCCUAAAGGAUAAAUUUUAAGAUUGUCACAGUCAAAAUUCAACCUUUGAGCAACAACGUCAAGUUGACGAACCUGAUAUAUUUAUUUCAGAUUAUCCAUAAUCUAGCUCGGCGUUUGAUGGGCUGCUUAAUUCGGCGUUAUCUUCAAGACAACAAAAUUUAAAUAACCAAGCAAAGCUUGGUGUUCUCCUUGUAUUUGACCAAUGUACAGUCGUCGCUGGCUUUGGCUUAAGCUCAAAGUCUCAUGAAUAAUAUUUUCUUUUUCGUCCCAUUUUACGUAAGAAAGAAAGAUUUUUAAAAUUU